rnacentral:rRNA from 1 species
UGCUUCUUGAAACCACCCAUAAAAAGUAAUCUCUGCCCAGUGAAUAUUUAAACGGCCGCGGUACCCUGACCGUGCAAAGGUAGCAUAAUAGCUUGCCUUUUAAUUAAAGGCUUGUAUGAACGAGCUAACGUGAGUUUAACUGUCUCUAAUAAUACCUUAAAAAUAAACCUCCACGUGAAAAGGCGUGGAUAUAAUUAAAAGACAAGAAGACCCUGUCGAACUUAAUUGUAACUAAGUAAAAAGAAAAAUAAUUUAUUCUUCUUACCCAAACAACAAUUUAGUUGGGGCAACAAAGGAACAAAAAAACCUUCCUUUAUCCCAUAUAUCACAACCAGCCCAAAUAAAUUGAAUAAAGAACAAAGUUACCGCAGGGAUAACAGGUCAAUAUUUCUCAAGAGUACACAUCAACAGAAAAGCUUUACACCUCGAUGUUGGCUUAGGCUAUCCAGUUAGUGCAGAAGCUAACAACGGCAGGUUUGUUCAACCUAAAAAGCCUACGUGAUCUG